rnacentral:rRNA from 1 species
UGGGUCCUACGGGGCGCAGCAGUGGGGAAUAUUGCACAAUGGGGGAAACCCUGAUGCAGCGACGCCGCGUGAGUAAAGAAGUAUUUCGGUAUGUAAAGCUCUAUCAGCAGGGAAGAAAAUGACGGUACCUGACUAAGAAGCCCCGGCUAACUACGUGCCAGCAGCCGCGGUAAUACGUAGGGGGCAAGCGUUAUCCGGAUUUACUGGGUGUAAAGGGAGCGUAGACGGCAGAGCAAGUCUGAAGUGAAAGCCCGCGGCCCAACUGCGGGACUGCUUUGGAAACUGCCCGGCUGGAGUGCUGGAGG